AUACAGAGGGUGCGAGCGUUAAUCGGAAUUACUGGGCGUAAAGCGUGCGUAGGUGGUUUUGAAAGUUGAUUGUGAAAAGCCCGGGCUCAACCUGGGUCUUGCACUCAAAACUACAAGGCUAGAGAGAAUGAGAGGGAAGUGGAAUUUCCGGUGUAGCGGUGAAAUGCGUAGAUAUCGGAAGGAACACCAGUGGCGAAGGCGGCUUCCUGGCAUUCUACUGACACUGAGGCACGAAAGCAGGGGUAGCGAACAGGAUUAGAUACCCGAGUAGUCC
rnacentral:rRNA from 1 species